rnacentral:rRNA from 1 species
GACGAACGCUGGCGGCGUGCUUAACACAUGCCAGUCGAACGGAAAGGCCCUGCUUUUGUGGGGUGCUCGAGUGGCGAACGGGUGAGUAACACGUGAGUAACCUGCCCUUGACUUUGGGAUAACUUCAGGAAACUGGUGCUAAUACCGGAUAGGAGCUCCUGCUGCAUGGUGGGGGUUGGAAAGUUUCGGCGGUUGGGGAUGGACUCGCGGCUUAUCAGCUUGUUGGUGGGGUAGUGGCUUACCAAGGCUUUGACGGGUAGCCGGCCUGAGAGGGUGACCGGCCACAUUGGGACUGAGAUACGGACCAGACUCCUACGGGAGGCAGCAGUGGGGAAUAUUGCACAAUGGGCGGAAGCCUGAUGCAGCAACGCCGCGUGCGGGAUGACGGCCUUCGGGUUGUAAACCGCUUUCGCCUGUGACGAAGCGUGAGUGACGGUAAUGGGUAAAGAAGCACCGGCUAACUACGUG